UACGUAGGGUGCGAGCGUUAAUCGGAAUUACUGGGCGUAAAGCGUGCGCAGGCGGUUCGUUAAGUUCGUUGUGAAAGCCCCGGGCUCAACCUGGGAACUGCAAUGGAAACUGGCGGGCUUGAGUGUGGCAGAGGGGGUGGAAUUCCGCGUGUAGCAGUGAAAUGCGUAGAUAUGUGGAGGAAUACCGAUGGCGAAGGCAGCCCCCUGGGAUAACGACUGACGCUCAUGCACGAAAGCGUGGGGAGCAAACAGG
rnacentral:rRNA from 1 species